rnacentral:lncRNA from 1 species
GAAGCUGUAAGUUAUAUAAACGACAUUCAAUAAUAACUUUAUCUAAGCAUCAUAUUUAUAUAUAUAAAAAGGUGGAGUACAUGCAAAACCAUCAAGUUUAAUAUUAUAAUUAACGUGUUCGAGGCACAGCUCGUAACUACACAUACGGUAAACAAAAUAUAUAUAUUCGGUCACAGCCGUCAUCAAAAUGCAUGAUCAUAAACCAAUAUAUAUAAAGUCUCGACCCACCAAAAUUGGAAGAGGCUAAGUUGGUUAGUAGCAAGAUAUAUUUACCAAAAACAUCAACAUAUAAUACUUCAUCAUAUAAUAGAACGGGAGAAUGUGGAGCUCCAUGUCUGCCGUCUUGCCGUCAACUCCUUAACCUGAAAAGAAUCAUAAAUAAUAGGGCAUGAGUGUGCAAGCACACUCAGUGGGGUAAACACUGCAAGCAGUUAUAACCAAUUGUGUAAUGAAUCAUAACAUGUUGAACUCUUAUAAUUUUUCACUUAGCUGACAUCUUGUGAGACUAGUCUCGGUCCCUUGUGGACCUGACCCCUUGUGGGCCGUUCAGCUCUUUGAUCCCUUGUGGAUCCGACCCCUUGUGGGUCCCAUUAGUUCAUAUGAAUGACGCACAACACAACAAUGAUUAUAACCAUGUAACAACUACGCUUACAGAUAAAAGUAAACCCCACCUUAAGUGAUUGAAUUCAAACCUCUUCAAGCUUGCUUCGGUUGUCCUCCUCGAGCCUUGGAUGCGCCGCUCCUAGCACUUGAAACACUUUAAACUUAGUUUCAUUACAAGCACUUAUUCUUGAAUAAGCUCUCAUUUCUUUAAACAAUAUUUUUAAUCUCUCUUGAAUAUAUUCUUGAAAAUUCUACAAUACACUUGAAGCCGAAGACCAUAUUUGAACAUUUUAUGAAUCUACAAAUUAUAAAUCCAUAGUUCAAUUACUAGUAUAAAUUAUACUAAUCUAACUUCAUUAUAAUCAUAUCAUUUAAUUAUAUAAUAUACUAAGUUUAGAUCACCAUAAUCCUUAUAAUUUAUUUCAAUUCUUGGCUAAUAAUAUUAAAAGAAAAUGUCUUGAUUAUCUAUUUAUGUGUUCAAGGUGAAACAAUCAUCAAAAAUCUAAUUCAAAUGCCCAAAUAAAAAUUAAAAUAAGCAUAACAUAUUAAAACUCAUAUUCGACACGUAAGGAGCUACAUCUCGACGUCUAUUCCGGCCAAUUCGACCUUAGAUCUCAAGAAGAAAACCUAUGAUUAGAACGUCUACGACAUGAGCUACAAAACCCCUAAACUUAUUCUCCCUCACGGCGUCGAUUUGACGCCGGAAAGUAGUCUCAAACUCGCGCGGAGACAAUCCCGCACAGACCCGACACCCUGACUUGAUUGGCUCAUAACUCCCUCGUCCGGUGUCGGAUUGACGAUCCGAAGGUACCGUUGGAAAGCCAACGACGAUAGCUUUCCAAUGGUACCUAUAUUGAUGGGGUUUGAUGACAGAAAACAGAUGAAAAACGGAUCGCAAGAUACGAUCCUGCUGCUGUCAAAAACAGGGGAAAAAUAAAGCACAGAAAAACACAUGCCGGCAGCCACCACGCCGCCGGAACCACUGUUCCGGUAAUCCCUCCUCCUCACUCCCACACAAGAGACUCCAUCCCACCAAUAUCUACUCAAGACCUUUAGCCAUCGAUUAAGAAGAACAAGAAUGGAAGAGAAGUGAUAAACCCUUUCAAAUUCAACAAUCAAAAUUGAGAAAAAAACAAGUAAUGGAUUAGAAGAAAUUACCUUAAUUAGCUGCUGGAAAUUAAAUGAGAGAAUGAGUGAAGAGUGGUGAUAUGCAAGGAAUGAGAGAGUGAGAGAUUGGAGAGAUAUGAGUGUAGGAAAAAAAAUAAGACUCCUUCAUGUAUAU